rnacentral:rRNA from 1 species
GCUGAACGCUGGCGGCGUGCCUAAUACAUGCAAGUCGAGCGAAGCGGGGACGGGUGAGUAACACGUGGAUAACCUCCUCUAAGACUGGGAUAACUUCGGGAAACCGGAGCUAAACCGGAUACUUAUCGAUGUCUCCUCGCUGCAUUAGCUAGUUGGUAAGGGAACGGCUUACCAAGGCAACGCUGCAUAGCCGACCUGAGAGGGGGAUCGGCGACACGGGAACUGAGACACGGCCCAGACUCCUACGGGAGGCAGCAGUAGGGAAUCUUCCGCAAUGGGCGAAAGCCUGACGGAGCAACGCCGCGUGAGUGAAGAAGGUCUUCGGAUCGUAAAACUCUGUUAUUAGGGAAGCGGUACCUAAACAGAAAGCCACGGCUAACUACGUGCCAGCCGCCGCGGUAAUUC